rnacentral:lncRNA from 1 species
UCCAGUUCCCUUCUCAUUGCAGAACCACAGGCAGAUAAAGAGAAUUAGGCUGGUUUUCGAAUGACCCUGACAGGUAUAAAGAAGCUUUCCAAAAUUUAACUCAGGUGUCGGACCUUACCUGGAGGGAUGUUAUGCUUCUCCUCAGACAAACCCUAACUGCAGCUGAAAAACAGGAAGAUCUGCAGGCAGCUGAGAAGUUCAGAGACAAGCAAUAUGUGUCCUACAGUGCGACAAAAAAACAUAUAAAAAUAAAUAAAUAAAUAAAAAUGCAAGACAAAAUAGGGAAAGAAAAGAAACAAGGGAAACUCCAUUACCAAAAGGAAGAGGGGCAGUACAUAUUGACAACCCUGAUUGGAACCCCAAUGACUCAAGAGUUUAAUAGAAAUACUGAAUACUUUUAAUAUUCAAUAUUGGACAUUUUUAAUAUUGAAAGGCCUACAAAGAACUAGGGCCAAGCUUCUAAAAUUAGUCUGUUUUAAAACUGCUGACAAAAACAUACCUGAGAGAGGGUAAUUUAAAUGGAAAAAAGAUUAAUGGACUCACAGUUCCACAUGGCUGGGGACACUUCACAAUCAUGACAGAAGGCGAAAGGCAAGUCUCACAUAACAGAUCAAAAUGGGCAAGGUUUAGCAGCUCCAUCAUCUUUCUUUGAGAACACUCGACCGGUGGAGUAAGAAUGCCUCAAGUAAGCACGUGUAAGAUUCCAGACAUCGCACUGUGUAUGCCACACACCCCGCCCAAAGAGCUCACUGGCCGCUGCACUGGUGAACAGCCCCACUCAAGGGAAGGAUCAGGGCAGAGGCAAUGACGCCAACUCAGAAGCAUGCCAAUGAAGGAGAAUCCAAGUCAAAAAUAAUACCAUGAACUCGAUUCAUCAAGUCACCCACUACACCCUCUUCCAACUGUAUCUUGCUUCCAUUCCUUCCUGCUCCAAAGUGUUGAAGAAGCUAUCACUCCUACUCUUAAUCUAACUGUCCUGUUAUGCCCUAGCAACAACUUCUCACAAGCCUUUUGGGGCAGUCUGAACAGCUGUCAGGAUAGAGCCUAGUACUGUGGCCCUUUAAAGACCCCACCUACUUGCUCGUUUCCAGUCAUUGCCCCUCUGGGAAGAGGGAAGAUUCUUCCUUCACCCAGGGUGAGUUUUCACCCCUAACCACAAGUGCUCCAGAGUUUACUACCUUAUGUAAACAAGACAUUAAAUGUAAACCUCUCAUUUCCACUGUUUGCCAUGACAUCAUCUCAGGUGUUCCUGGCGCCCACCAGGCAAUCUCCCGAAGCACUCCUUCUGCUGUCCAUGCAAUGUUCUUAAGUCUUCUUUCUGCCCAGUGUGCAAUCUUCCUGGAUGGCCCUUCUGUCACACGUUCACGUCUGACAGAGGUUUCUUCUGCCAAACACUGAAUCUUCUCGGACGUUCUUCUGCCAAAUGUGCAAUCCUGUCAGACAUUCCAGUCACUCUAGGUAACUGGUCUGACAUAAGCAGGGUAUGAGGGGCUUCCCCCACCACCACGAGAAAUGUCAGACAACCAUUAGAUGACGGCCAGGCAGUUGUUGAAAUGUUUCUAUGGAAGAAAACCAUUCGCAGCCUGCCGGUGCCAAAAAAGGGCAGCCUCCCAAAGAACAAAAGAGCCGGAAGGUGGACAUCAGCAGCUUCCCAGUAAAAUCCCAGGAAUCAGGUGCGUGGGCUCAUGCAGGACACUUAACAGCCAGAAGGGCUGGGUUUAGCAGCUCCAUAACCUUCCUCUAAAAACACUCAAUGGGUAAGAAAAGAGCACAUGCCUAAGACUCCAGGAACCACAUGCACGUGUGACACCCAAAACCCAUGGGCUGACAGGCCACGGCACUGGGAGACCCACACAAAGGAAGGAUCAGGGGAGAGGCAAAAACACUACCCUGAAAGCCUGCCAACAAAUGACACCCUGAGUCAAACCCUGCACUUGUUAACUCAGGUCUCGAAAGAGAAAUGAUCAUUCUAAGCACAUCACAGGAAUCACAUGGCCUUCACCAGUGAUGGGUUUAGCAAUAGGCAUGUGCUGUAAUACAGACCAUAUGAUGUUUCCGGAAGGUCACUAUGAGCUGCAGACUUGACUGCCUGUUGAAAAGACACCUGGGAAGAAGACCAACCCAUCCACACUUCAGAUACUGCCUUCAGACAACACGCCAACUGCAGCUGUUGCUACUCAGUCCACCGGAAAAGCACACAUGAACUAAAAACUGCCCACGGCAUGGCUGGAAGGGAAAUGUGAGCAUGACACAACGAUACCAACACAACUCUGGUGCCUAUGGCGUCAGCUGCUAUUAUUUGGGUCGUCUACUAUUUAAAGCCACGAGCAUCCUGAGAAUGUGGCCGUGGCCCGCAAAAUAUAUCCUCUACCCCUCCUGUUCUGGACUGCUCAAAAAUCUUCCCUAAGCUCACUUUUUCUAGACAUUCAAAUUAUGCCCAACGACGUCAGUACCACACUCUUUACAAUAGCAACAAUGUAUGGUUCCUAAAACGGAAAGAAUUCAUGUGAGUCUCUGACCUUUGGAACUUGACAUUCCUUCGGAAAACAGGGAAUCUUCUACAAAUGUUCCUUCUGCAAAUCGCGUGAGCUUCUCAGACGUUCUUUCUGCCACACAUUCCACCUUUAAGAGGUUUCAACGAUGAAACGUUCAGUCUUCUCGCAUGUCUACUCUGCCAAACCGGGGAUCCGAUCACAUAGCUCUUCUGCAAAACAUUCGACCUCAUCAGAAGUGUCUUCCACCAACCAUUCCAUCUUGCCAGAUGUUUCUGUGUUACUGUGGAUGGCUGGACACACAGGAUCAGCGCAUGAGAGGGUCUAGCCCACACCCCACCAGAUAUGUCAGGUGACCAGGAAGUGACAGGGCAGGCCGUCGUUAAAUUGCCUUUCUCAAAUAAGAAAUGAUGGCUGGGAGGCAGCGCCAGGGACGGCAGUGCCCCCAACAGACAGAAAUCCCAGAAGGUGGUGAUGAGCAGCUCCCCAAGAAGGUAUCAGGAGGCAGGCGAGGGGGCUCACACACACCUCCUCACAGGCAUACCGGCCAGGUUUCACUACCCUAUGACCUUCCCCGGGCAACAUCCUACUGCCGAAAAAGACACGCCUCAAGUGAGAGUGCCUGCAACUGCAGGAAAAACGCCAUGCCUACGGCCCCUCCCAGCUGUCAACAGGACACAGCCAAUGUGGACAGCAUACCACGUGAAAAGGGCAGCUCUUUUGGAGAGUGCAGCAAGGCUUUCCGUGAGUCCUCUCGCUUCCUCCUGCUUUAGCCUGUAUCCUCUGUUUCUCUACUCACAGCCAUGCCCUUCUCCAGAUGCUUCCAGGCCUUCCAGGUCCUAUUUGAAGGGAGAAAUGUCCAGCUCCUUGCAGCAGCUAGCUGAAAAACAGGCUCCUCGUCUACUGUGAGAAUCUGGGAAGUGGGAAUCAGACAGCAGAGAUCAUCAUUGUCUUGCUGGAACGCUCUCACCCACAGUCACUCUCACGUCACGCAGACAAGGACAGAGUCCGGACAAAGGCCACAGGUGCAACAGAACGAUAGCACCCAGACCAAGGCUGAUCCCAGGCUAACACACGUCCAUUAGAGCAGGGAGGAAGGCAAGAACAGGGGCACAUGGUAACAACGGUUCAUUCUGGGACCCCAGGGAUGAAUGGGGCUUCCCCGAACCGGUUCACUCCAGCACCUCCUCUCUUCUCCAGUGGGUGAUCAUGACGAGAUGGCACCGGGUUUGGCAGGGAAACAGUAAGACCAAGACAUCCCAGAGCCCUAUGGAUGAACGGGGGAUGCCCUAUUCAGGAUCCUGGGAAAGAUAAGAGAGCCCAAGCAUGAUGGACACAGUCCUUGUAAGCCGCCAAAAACUUUCCUGAAACAGGACCUGGGAAAGAAACCCUGUGCGGUUUGAAAGGUUAUUAGGUCUGUUAAAUGCUUCUGGAAUCGACGCUUUACCAGAGGCCAGUCAGGACCAUUUGCUUACGUGUCAUCUCUGACUGCUUCCACACUGCUACAGCAGGCUUCAGCAGACAUGACAGAGACCACCGGGCCUACAAGCGUUUCCCACCUGCCCCUUUACAGGAAGAACUGGCCAAACCCUGCGUCACGCCGUGACUGGAAAGUCCUAAUACUCACCGCUCAUCUUCUGACUCCCCUGCUCAAAAGCUUCCCGUGAAUCUCUGCAGGAAACCUGGCUGGCUCCCUAUCCACGGAAUUUCUUCUUUCUCGCUGGAGAAAUGCAAGGUUAUCAGGAUCUUUAUCGUUCCCUCAACCCACCCCAGCUCCUGAAGGAGGAAUGAUCAUUCUAAGCUCAUCACAGCAAUCACAUGGUUUUCCCCAGUGACUGGCUUAGCAGUCGGCAUGUGCUGUAACCCAGCCCAUACGAUGUUACCAGAAGGCCACUGUGAGCUGCUGACUUGACUGCCUCUUCAAAAGACACCUGGGAAGAAGAGCAACCCCUCCACCCUUCACACGCUGCCUUCAGAGAACACGCCGACUGCAGCUGUUGCUACUUGGCCCGCCAGCAAAGCAGACAUGAAGUAAACACUGCCCACAGCACAGCUGGAAGGGAAAACGUGAGCGUGACACGACGAUGCCAACACAAUUCUGGUGCCUAUGGCUUCAGCCGCUCUUACUUGGGUCAUCUACUAUUUACAGCCACGAGCAUCCUGAGAAUGUGGCUGUGGCCCAUAGAAUAUGUCUCUACCCCUCCUACUCCGGACUGUUCAAAAAUCUACCCUCAGCUCGCCUUUUCUAGAUAUUCAAACCACGCCCAACCACUCUCGUACCACACUCUUGCCACCAGCAACACUGAGCUGCUCCUGAACCCGACAGAGUUCACAUGAGCCUCUGACCUUUGGAACUUGCCGUUCCUUCGGGAAAACAGGCAAUCUACUCCCAGUGCUCCUUCUGGGAAUCCUGCGAGCUUCUCAGAUAUUCUCUCUGCCACACCUGUUCCCUCCGUUCCACCCUGCCAGAUGUCUCCUCGGCCAAAACGUUCCGUCUUCUCGCAUGUCUCCUCUGCCAAACCAGGGAUCUGGUCACAUGGCUCUUCUGCAAAACAUUCGAUCUCGUCAGAUGUGUCUUCCGCCAACCACUCCAUCCUGCCAGAUGUUUCUGUGUUACCGUGGGCGGCUGGUCAGACAGGAGCAGCGCAGGAGAGGGCCACGCCCACACCCCACCUGACACCUCAGGUGACCAGGAGGUGAUGGGUCAGGCCACCAUUAAACUGCCUCUCUCAAAUAACAGAUGAUUGCUGGGAGCCCCGCCGGGGACGGGCAGUCCCCCAGACAGACAGAAACCCUGGAAGGUGGCGAUGAGCAGCUCCCCGAGAUCUCAGGGGGUGGGCGAGGGGGUUCACGCUUGCGCAUUCACAGGCAAACCGGCCGGGUUUCACUGUCCUAUGACCCUCCCUGGGCAACAUCCAACUGCCGAGGGAGGCACGCCUCAAGUGAGCACCCCUACGACUCCAGGAAACACGCUGCGCCUGCGGUCCCUCCCAAGUGCCGACAGGCCACUGCCCAUGUGGAUGGCCCGCCCUGUGAAAAGGCUCAGGGGAGGAAGCGACGCAACCCCUGGCUCCUGGAAGCCUGCCAAUGUGUGAGACCUCUCCUCAAAGGUCGAACAAUGCAUGCCCCUGACCUCUCCAGUUGCACACAUGGCAUUCUUCUAAGUGUACCUUAUUGCCUCGCCUCCCUGCUCCGGUACCAUCUGGGAGACCCGCGCUUAAAGUGGCCUCGGUUUCUCUCCCUCCGCCUCAUGCCCCUCAGUCAAACUCCCUCUGACGAGGCAAGAGCUCAGGUUGCUGCGUGCAGGCCUCUAUGGAUCCACCGCCGCGGACGUCCCUACCGCCAAACACCCCAUCUUAGCGGAUGUUUUCUCUCCCAAAUGUUCCCUCUUUCCAGCUGUUUCCUUUGCACGGCAUGCAAUCUUCCUAGGUGUUCCGUCUACCCACCGUGGAAUCUGCUCAGAGGUUCCUUCUGCCCACCAUGAGACCUGCUUAAGGGUUUUCUGCUGUUGACCACGCCAUCUUCGCACUUAGGCCUUCUGCUAAACGUGCAGUCUACCUGAGUGUUCCUUCUGCCAAACAGCUAGUUGUGUCCGCUCCCUCCCCUGACAAGCGCUCAGUCUUGUCCGGCGCACCAUGGGCCCAAUACUUCCUCCACCCAGAUGUUUCUUGGGCAGGCCUUGCAAUCUGCCUAGGGCGUCCAACUGCCCAUCCUGCAGUCUUCUCACGGGUUCCCUCACCCUGCCAGCCCCCCCUGCAAUCUCCCUACCCUAAGGUUUCCUCAUGCUGAUCACCAGAUGUUCUUAGCAGUUCCUUCCGAAAUCGCUGCAGUCUGCUUAGAUGUUACCUCUGUCACACUCGGCUGUCAGAUGUUCCUUCCGCCAGACACUCCAUCUCGUCAGAUGAUCUUCUGGCACACGUUCAAUCCUGUCAGGUGUCCCUCUCCGUCACACGUGCAGAGCGGGGCCCGAGAGGGUUCCCCACCACCAGUAAAUGUUAGGCAGCCGCGAGGUGAUGGUCGUGUGGUCUCAAAGCAGACUCUCUAGAGAAAUCACUGGCGCAGGCAGUGCCAGGGAAAGGCAGUCCCCCUCCCCCACAGCAGUCAGGAACAUCGGAAGCAUCCCUGGCAGACCUUGUGAGUUGGGCAAGUGGGCUCACGCACGUGCCCUGAGAGGCAAACUGGUGGGAGGUUCACUGCUGUAGGACCUUUACCCCUGGACACAUUCGUCUGCUUGCUGGAGAAAUGCCUCAAGCAAGCACGCUAACAACUCCAGUAAGCACACAGCACCUGCGGCCCCCGCCCCUCCACCCCACAAGAAGAUGCUAACAGGCCACUGCGCCAGUGGACUGCCCCCUCUUCCCCGACAAGAGAAGCAUCAGGGGACCGGCAGCAAUGCUGCCAAUGGGGGAGACCCCGAGUCGAAGGUCCAGCCCUGCACUGCACCUCUCAGGCUGCUGCCUGCCUGGGCCUCUUCCAAGCCUCCUUGACUUCCUUUGGCUCCUGCCACAAUACCGUUUCAGGAACUUUCGCCCCUGCUCCAACGUGUUCCUCAGUCUCUCCCUCUGCCUUGUGCCCCUCGGUCGAUGUCCUUCUGCUCAGGAGGCAGGAACCGAGGUUGCCGCAGGCCUGCACGCAUCUGCCGCCACUCACGGGCCCCACUGCCAAACGUGGAAUCUUGCCCAAUGUGCCUGUCCUCAGCCAGACAUGCCAUCCCUUCAGAUGCUUCUUUCGCAGGCCACGCACUUGCAUGCUUCCUACGUUUUCCUCCCUGCUGCUGUGCCAUCAGCUGCAAGGUUUCUGCUGUCCACCAUGCAACCUUCUCACAUGUUCCUUCCACCACACGUGCAAUCUCCCUAAGCAUCCCUUCUCCCAAACGCUCCACUCUGUCCCUUGUUCCCCCUGGCAAGCAUCCCAUCUUCUCAGGUGUUUCUUCUGCCACAUAUUUAAUCAUCUUCACAUGUUGCCUCCCAAGGCCUUGAAUCCUUCCCAGCUCAUCCUCCCGCACACCCCGCAAUCCUCCCAGAUGCUACCGCCGCCCACCGGGCAAUCUCCAGAGGCACUCCUUCUGCUGUCCAGUGCUCUUAGGUCUUCCUACUACCCAAUGUGCAAUCUUCCCAGAUGGGCCUUCUGCCACACAUUCACAUCUGAUCUGGCAGGUGUUUCUUCUGCCAAACAUGCAAUCCUGUCAGACGUUCCUGUCACUCACGGUAGCUGGUCUGACGUGAGCAUGGUACCAGGGGGUCUCCCUACCUCCAUCAGGAAUGUCAGACCACCAUGAGGUGACUGUCACGUGGUUCUUGAACCCUAUCUAUGGAGGAAAACCGCUCACAGCCAGCCAGUGCCAAGGAAGGGCAGGCUCCCAAUGGACGGAAGCGCAGGAAAGUGGACAUCAGCAGCCUCCCUCUGAGAUCCCAGGAGUCAGGCAUGUGGGCUCACACAGGACCCCCUGACAGCCACACUGGCGGGGUUCAGCAGCUCUGUCUCCUUCCUCUGAGAACACUCGACAGGUAGAGGAUGUACACCUCAAGUGAGCACACCUAAGCCUCCAGGUAUGGCAUUGCGGCUGUCACACCCCCCGCCCACAAGCUGACAGGCCGCGAUGCCAGUCAACAGCCCCACCCAAGGGAAGGAUCAGUGGAGAGGCAACAAUGCCACCCCCAAAACCUACCAAUGGAGGAGACCCCAAGUCGAAGGUCAAACCCUGCACUCUGUCCCUUAGGUUGCCCGCUUCGCCCUCUUCCAACUGUAUCUUGCUUGCUUUCCUUCCUGCUCCAAAGUGCUGAAGCAGCUUUCACUCCUGCUCUUCACCCUGCCUUCCUCUUACGCCCCAGGGCCAACUUCUUAGGGGGCUUUUGGGGCAGUCUGUCCCACCACCUGCAUAGGGCCUCAUUCUGUGGCUCUUUGGGACCCCAUCUACUUGCUCAUUUCCAGUCAGCACCCCUCUGGGAAGAGCAAAGAUUCUUCCUUCACGCCAGGCGCGUUUUCACCCCAAGCCACAAGUGCUCCAGAGGUUACUACCUUUCUUCAGGUAGGCAUUAAACAUGGCCCUCUCGAGUGCGAGGGCAGCUCUUUUGGCGAGCGCAACAAGGCUUUCCAUGAGUCUUCCUCUCUCGCUUCCUCCUGCUUCAGUCUGUAGCCUGUUUCUCUACUCCCAGCCGCACCCUUCUCCAGAUGCUUUCAGACCUUCUAGGUCCUAUCUGAAGGGAGAAAUUUCCAGCUCCCUUGCAGCAGCUAGCUGAAAAACAGGCUCCUCGUCUAGUGUGAGAAUCUAGGAAACAGGAAUCAGACAGCAGAGAUCAUCAUUGUCUUGCUGGAAUGCUCUCAGCCACAGUCACUCUCAUGUCACAGACACAAGGACAGAGACCGGACCAAGGCCGCAGGCGCAACAGAUCCAUAGCACCGAGACAAAGGCUGAUCCCAGGCUAACACAUGACCAUUAGAGCAGGGAUGUAGGCAAGGCCAGGGGUACAUGGUAACACCGGUUCAUUCCGGGCUCCCAGGGAUGAACAGGCCUCCCCCGAUCCCAUUCACUCCAGCACCUCCUCUCUUCUCCAGUGGGUGAUCAUGACAAGAUGGGAAUGGGGUUAGCGGGGACACAGUAAGGCCAAUGCUUCCCGGAGCCCUAAGGCCAAAUUGGGGACGCUGUAUUCAGGAUCCUAGGAAAGUCAAGAGAGCCCAAGCACGUUGGAGAAGGUCCUUGUAAGCUGCCAGAAACAUUCUCAAAAGGGGACCCGGGAAACAAAUGCCAUGCGGUUUGAAAGGUUGUUAGGUCUGUUAAACACUUCCACAACGGACGCUUUACCAGAGGCCGGUCGGGAGUAUUUGCUUACGUGUCAUCUCUGACUGCUUUCACGCUGCUACGGCGUGAACGGAGACCAUGAUACCUAUGAGUGUUUUCCACCUGGCCCUUUACAGGAAGAGCUAGCCAAUCCCUGCAUCGUGCCAUGACCAGAAUGCCCUAAUACUGACUGCUCAUCUUCUGACUCCCCUGCUCAAAAGCUUCCCAUGAAUCUCUGCAGGAAACCUGGUUGGCUCCCUAUCCACAGCCAUUGUUUCUUCUCACUGGAGAAACACAAUUUUAUUUGGAUCUUUAUCAUUUCCCCAGAUCCAAAAGUAGAAAUAAUCAUUCUAAGCUCAUCAUAGGAAUCAUCACGUAUUCACAAACCUCAUUCGUUAGAACAUGCCAGUAAAGGAAAAAUAUAACUCACUUACUUAAAUUGUUAUUUAUUCAAAAAUAUUUUUUAAAAUUGUAGGCAACAAAAUUCAAUAAAGGAUUGUUUUUAAGACAAUAGGUUUUGAGAUUAUAAACUAUCUACAAACUAAAUUCUUAACUGUGAAUACUAAACUAUUCAAAGAAAAAAUUUUAUAUAAAUACAAACAUAUUUACACACACAUGCACAGCCACACAGACAUACCAUUGACACACUAAAUUUCUUUUUUGUGAUCGAAACUCAAUAAUCUUAUGCUAGCACCACCAAGAGUAGCUUAGUAUUAAAAGUCUUACCUGGAUUGCUGUUUUGAGGACUUUUAGGUAUCUUUAUUUCAGAUUCCAAACAUUCUUGGUAAAUGCUAUGUAUCAAAUAUGUGAUAAAUUGAGGUAUUAUUUCAACACUGAUAUUAAAAAUUUACCCAAUGUGUUAAAUUCCUAGGGUAUUUCAGAGUGUCGGGGUAAUAUCUGAAAUCUACUUAUUCCACAGACUUCUAACUUAUUAGCUCUAUGCACUUAUUAAGCUUCAAAUUGAAGAAAGCAAAGUGAAAUACUCAUGAAUUCAGGGCAGUAUAGCUCAGGAAAUUAACUAGAGUUAGCUUGACGUAAUGGAAAAUGUCCUGAUCUCCUAAGUUUGAGUUCUGUAACCAACACCUAUUUGUUCUUCAGCAAGUUGCUUCUCUUAGGCUCAAUGUCUUCUUCUAAUAUGAGGUUUUUAGUGCCUUAUUUCAGUAGGUUAUUACAAAGUUUUAACAACAUAACAUUUGAAAAACUGUUCAAAGAAACAGUAAUGGAAUACUUAAUCUUGAAGCUUAUAGCUGAAACUAUUUUAAAAUCCCAAAUAAAACCCAAUGUGUUGGCCAGAUGCAGUGACUCGCCUGUGAUACCAGCACUUUGGGAGGCUGAGACAGGAGGAUCACUUGGGCUCAAUACUUCAAGACCAGCCUGCGCAACAGGGAGACCCUGUAACUACAAAAAAUAAAAGAUAAAUUAUAAAAAACCAAUGUGUGUUUCUUCAUAGGAUCUAAUAUUCAAAUGUUGUAGUUUUCAGAAACUUAUUAAGUCCUACUUUUGGUUAUUAGAUGUUCCAUUUUUUUGUGGCUUGUGAUUCAGGGCAUCUAGGCUAUUUGAUAAUUUGUAAUAAAAUUUAUUUAUAAAUUAAUUCAUCAAAUUAGAUAACAUGAUUAUCCCCUAUUUCUGAGCUCAUCAAUCACACCCAGGGCAGAAAACUAAUAGAUUUCAAGACCUGGCUUGGACUCCUACUUUUCUUUACUGAUCUCCUCGAACUCUGAACCAACAAAUCUUUGUUACAGUGAUGCUUAAACCCCAGUUAUUUUAAAAUAUUUUCACUCAGGGAGCUUGAGCUUCCAAAUAUGAAAAACUGACCCCUACAUAUGACAAUGUUAAAACAAAUGUGUGGGGAAAAGCAAGAGAGAUCAGAUUGUUACUGUGUCUGUGUAGAAAGAAGUAGACAUAGGAGACUCCAUUUUGUUAUGUACUAAGAAAAAUUCUUCUGCCUUGAGAUUCUGUGACCUCACCCCCAACCUCGUGCUCUCUGAAACAUGUGCUGUGUCAAACUCAGAGUUAAAUGGAUUAAGGGCGGUGCAAGAUGUGCUUUGUUAAACAGAUGCUUGAAGGCAGCAUGCUCCUUAAGAGUCAUCACCACUCCUUAAUCUCAAGUACUCAGGGACACAAAAACUGCAGAAGGCCGCAGGGACCUCUGCCUAGGAAAGCCAGGUAUUGUCCAAGGUUUCUCCCCAUGUGAUAGUCUGAAAUAUGGCCUCGUGGGAAAGGAAAGACCUGACCUGUCCCUCAGCCCGACACCCAUAAAGGGUCUGUGCUGAGGAGGAUUAGUAAAAGAGGAAGGAAUGCCUCUUGCAGUUGAGACAAGAGGAAGGCAUCUGUCUCCUGCCUGUCCUUGGGCAAUGGAAUGUCUCGGUAUAAAACCUGAUUGUAUGCUCCAUCUACUGAGAUAGAGAAAAACCGCCUUAGGGCUGGAAGUAGGACCUGCAGGCAGCAAUACUGCUUUGUAAAGCAUUGAGAUGUUUAUGUGUAUGCAUAUCUAAAAG